UUAAAUUGAAGAGUUUGAUCAUGGCUCAGAUUGAACGCUGGCGGCAGGCCUAACACAUGCAAGUCGAACGGUAACAGGAAUCAGCUUGCUGAUUUGCUGACGAGUGGCGGACGGGUGAGUAAUGUCUGGGAAACUGCCUGAUGGAGGGGGAUAACUACUGGAAACGGUAGCUAAUACCGCAUAACGUCGCAAGACCAAAGAGGGGGACCUUCGGGCCUCUUGCCAUCGGAUGUGCCCAGAUGGGAUUAGCUAGUAGGUGGGGUAACGGCUCACCUAGGCGACGAUCCCUAGCUGGUCUGAGAGGAUGACCAGCCACACUGGAACUGAGACACGGUCCAGACUCCUACGGGAGGCAGCAGUGGGGAAUAUUGCACAAUGGGCG
rnacentral:rRNA from 1 species